CCAAUAUUCAGAAGAAAGUCACUGAUCCUUCCCAUACUCAAAGGGAUUACACAAAGAUGUGAAUACCAGGAGCUGGAGAAGCUGGAAACACUCUAAAGUCUGUCUGCUACACAUCUGUUUUGGUAAAAGGAGUCUCCCCUGGUGCUGUGAGAUUGGUUUUCUGUGUUGGAAGGAGAGCAUGGAGAGCAGCUGCUGUCUCCCGGCCUGGUGCAGAGUAUACAAGAGUCAACAUUUUGGUGGCUCAUACCGGGAUCCAGAGAAGGACUCCUGCUGACUCUAAAGAUGGUGAGCAAACAAGUGCAGUAGCUGUACUGAGUCCACUGCUCCUCACUGCUUCCCACUGACCAGAAUUUGAGGAACACCACUAUUGUUACUUCUAAAUGAAGCUUAAGAAUUGCAUUUGAUUGCAAAGGAUGGAACAUUUAAAGUGGUAAGGCUGGGGACGGAAAAAAUGAAAAUCAUAUAAUCCAAUAAUGAACCACGACAAUGGAGGGGAAACUUCCUGGAAGCACUGUUGACGAUGAACAUCUCCAAAUCCCUAUGUGCUCAACUCAUUAGCAAG
rnacentral:lncRNA from 1 species